CUAGGCGUACGUAACGACGUAGAUUGUGUAGUAAAUCGUCAACCCCAUCAUCCACCUGACAAGCCAAACUAGCUUUUCUUGGUAGACUGUUUGUCUUUAUUCAAUUUAUAUAUUGUAAGUAACCAAAUAUGCAAUUGACUGAUUAUGUAGGUAUUUAAUUGCGUAUUCCAGAGCAUUAUAGAUUCAAAAAGUGUACAGUAGUUAGCUCUGCUCAGCUAGCUAGCUAGUUUAGCUACAAUCCUACUCAUGUCAAAAUUCUCCAUCCAUAGUUCUGGAUGAAUCGAAUAAAGAAUGGACAGCCCCAGCCCACCCUCACCGUUGAGCAGGCCAGAUGUAAGAACAGUUGUCACAUACUUUUGUCUUAUUACUAAUGCCCAGUAGUGGAACAGAUCUCUUCAAACUGCUUGUGAUGCAGUGGUGCUGAGUGUGGUCAUCCAAGUCUUCUCUGUGCCAGAGAAUUCAGCGCAGAUGGAGGAGGAGAGAGAGCGCCUACAACAUGGGGACGAUUCGAUAGCUGGUGCUCCCCAUGGGCCACCCAGAUCCAACAGGUCAUCAAGGCUUAUGGCUUCAACAAUGAGGGAGAGGGGGAAGUCACUUUGUGAAACCAGUUCCAUACAGAAUGAAGGGGUAGAGAGAGACAAAUCUAUUGUCACUUGUCAGUGGCAUUGUUUUGUGUGAAGACUGAAUGCUAUCUUUUUGCGUCAUGUUCAGUUUGACCUAUACUGAACAACAAUAUAAAUGCAGCAAUUUCUAAGAUUUUACUUAGUUAAUAUAAGGAAAUCAGUCAAUUAAAAUACAUUCAUAAGGCCCUAAUCUAUGAUUUUCAUAUGUUGGUCAUAGAUAUCUUUAAAAAAAUGGUAGGGGUCAUGGAUCAGAAAACCAGUAAAUAUCUGGUGUGACCACCAUUUGUGUCAUGCAGCUCGACACCUCCUUCUCCUUGAGUUGAUAAGGCUGUUGAUUGUGGCCUGUGAAAUGUUGUCCCACUCCUCUUCAAUGGCUGUGCGAACUUGCUGGGUAUUAGCGGGAACACACUAACACGUCAAUCCAGAGUAUUCAAACCAUGCUCAAUGGGUGACAUGUUUGAGUAUGCGCUGGUGGAAAUUCCUGGAGUCAGCAUGCCAAUUGCCCUCAACUUAUGACAUUGUGUUGUGUGACAACUGCUCAUUUUAGAGUGUGCUUUUGUCCCCAGCACAAGAUGCACCUGGGUAAUGAUGCCAUUUAAUAUGCUUCUUGAUAUGCCACACCUGUCAGGUGGAUGGAUUAUUUUGGCAAAGGAGAAAUGCUCACUAAGAGAGAUGUAAAAUUUGUGCACAUACUGAGAGAAAUAAGCUUUUUGUGCGUAUGGAACAUUUCUGGGAUCUUUUAUUUCAGCUCAUGAAACCAACACUUUCAUGUUGCAUUUAUAUAUUUGUUCAGUGUAUUUGUGAAAUCAUGUUGGUCAAUCAUAGUAGUCAUUGCUUGUAAACUAUUUUUCAGGUGUAUUUGUGAAAUGAUGGUGGUCAAUCAUAGUAGUCAUUGCUUGUAAACUAUUUUUCAGGUGUAUUUGUGAAAUGAUGGUGGUCAAUCAUAGUAGUCAUUGCUUGUUUUAGCAAUUUUUCAGGUGUUCUUAAAUUUGCCCGUCUGGUGAAGAUGUAUGAAACUCAGGAUCCAGAGAUAGCAGCCAUAUCGGUCAAACUGGGGUCUCUUCUCCUGCCUCCCCUGUCCACUCCACCCAUUGGUGGUGCAAUACCAGCAUCCUCGCAAACUAUUUUAUUGUGGACCGCCUUGUUUUUCCAGAAGGGACAUCUACAAAAUGUUACUGUACUUCCAUCAAGUACGUGCAAACCUGGAAUUCAGCUCAUGAUAUUUUCAUUCAGUCUUAGGUGAGAGUGAAUUGGUUACCUUAUUUAUAAUGUCCUGAGAUAAUAUACACAAAGCACAUCUUUAUUGGUUGAAAUGAAAACACAAGCACUGACCAUG